AGAACGAACGCUGGCGGCAUGCCUAAUACAUGCAAGUCGAACGAACUCUUCGGAGUUAGUGGCGCACGGGUGCGUAACGCGUGGGAAUCUGCCCCUUGGUUCGGAAUAACAGUUGGAAACGACUGCUAAUACCGGAUGAUGACGAAAGUCCAAAGAUUUAUCGCCAAGGGAUGAGCCCGCGUAGGAUUAGCUAGUUGGUGAGGUAAAGGCUCACCAAGGCAACGAUCCUUAGCUGGUCUGAGAGGAUGAUCAGCCACACUGGGACUGAGACACGGCCCAGACUCCUACGGGAGGCAGCAGUAGGGAAUAUUGGACAAUGGGCGAAAGCCUGAUCCAGCCAUGCCGCGUGUGUGAAGAAGGUCUUCGGAUUGUAAAAGCUAACGUUUAAGUUGGGGGAAGGUAAGGGUU
rnacentral:rRNA from 1 species